rnacentral:pre_miRNA from 1 species
AGAAUAUAAGAACCCGUCUCUUAACUUUUAACUAAAAAAGUUAAGAACCGGCUCUUAAAACUCUUAUUUAAGAACCGGUUCUUAGCUUUUUUAGUUAAAAGUUAAGAGACGGGUUCUUAUAUUCC